AUUCCGGUUGAUCCUGCCGGAGGCCAUUGCUAUUGGGAUCCGAUUUAGCCAUGCUAGUCGCACGAGUUCAGACUCGUGGCGAAUAGCUCAGUAACACGUGGCCAAACUACCCUUCGGAACACAAUACCCUCGGGAAACUGAGGCUAAUAAUGUAUACCAUACCACCACUGGAAUGAGUGGUAUGCCAAACGCUCCGGCGCCGAAGGAUGUGGCUGCGGCCGAUUAGGUAGACGGUGGGGUAACGGCCCACCGUGCCAAUAAUCGGUAUGGGUCAUGAGAGUGAGAACCCAGAGACGGAAUCUGAGACAAGAUUCCGGGCCCUACGGGGCGCAGCAGGCGCGAAACCUUUACACUGCACGACAGUGCGAUAGGGGGAUCCCAAGUGCACAGGCAUAGCGCCUGUGCUUUUCGGUACCCUAAGGCGGUACCAGAAUAAGGGCUGGGCAAGACCGGUGCCAGCCGCCGCGGUAAUACCGGCAGCCCAAGUGAUGGCCGAUCUUAUUGGGCCUAAAGCGUCCGUAGCUGGCCGCGCAAGUCCAUCGGGAAAUCCACCUGCUCAACAGGUGGGCGCCCGGUAGAAACUGCGUGGCUUGGGACCGGAAGGCGCGACGGGUACGUCCGGGGUAGGAGUGAAAUCCCGUAAUCCUGGACGGACCGCCGAUGGCGAAAGCACGUCGCGAGAACGGAUCCGACAGUGAGGGACGAAAGCCAGGGUCUCGAACCGGAUUAGAUACCCGGGUAGUCCUGGCCGUAAACAAUGUCUGCUAGGUGUGGCCCCCACUACGAGUGGGUGCUGUGCCGUAGGGAAGCCGCUAAGCAGACCGCCUGGGAAGUACGUCCGCAAGGAUGAAACUUAAAGGAAUUGGCGGGGGAGCACUACAACCGGAGGAGCCUGCGGUUUAAUUGGACUCAACGCCGGACAUCUCACCAGCAUCGACUGUAAUAAUGACGACCAGGUUGAUGACCUUGUCCGAGUUUCAGAGAGGAGGUGCAUGGCCGCCGUCAGCUCGUACCGUGAGGCGUCCUGUUAAGUCAGGCAACGAGCGAGACCCGCACCCUUACUUGCCAGCAGUACCGCGAGGUAGCUGGGGACAGUAGGGGGACCGCCGUGGCUAACACGGAGGAAGGAACGGGCAACGGUAGGUCAGUAUGCCCCGAAUGUGCUGGGCAACACGCGGGCUACAAUGGUCGAGACAAAGGGUUCCUACUCCGAAAGGAGACGGUAAUCUCAGAAACUCGAUCGUAGUUCGGAGGUUGGGCUGCAACUCGCCCACAUGAAGCUGGAUUCGGUAGUAAUCGCGUGUCACAAGCGCGCGGUGAAUACGUCCCUGCUCCUUGCACACACCGCCCGUCAAAGCACCCGAGUGAGGUCCGGAUGAGGCGUUCCACGAACGUCGAAUCUGGCUUCGCAAGGGGGCUUAAGUCGUAACAAGGUAGCCGUAGGGGAAUCUGCGGCUGGAUCACCUCCU
rnacentral:rRNA from 1 species